AUUGAACGCUGGCGGCAGGCCUAACACAUGCAAGUCGAACGAGCGACGGACGGGGGAGUAAUGUCUGGGAAACUGCCUGAUGACGGGGGGUAACUACUGGAAACGGUAACUAAUACCGCAUACCCUCAGAUGUGCACAGAUGGGAUGAGCUAGUAGUUGGGGUAACGGCUCACCUAGGCGAGGAUCCCUAGCUGGUCUGAGAGGAUGACCAGCCACACUGGAACUGAGACACGGUCCAGACUCCUACGUGAGGAAGCAGUGGGGAAUAUUGCACAAUGGGCGCAAGCCUGAUGCAGCCAUGCCGCGUGUGUGAAGAAGGCCUUCGGGUUGUAAAGCACUUUCAGCGGGGAGGCGUUACCCGCAGAAGAAGCACCGGCUAACUCCGUGCCAGCAGCCGCGGUAAUUC
rnacentral:rRNA from 1 species